UUUCCGGUUGAUCCUGCCGGACCUGACUGCUAUCGGAUUGAUACUAAGCCAUGCGAGUCUUUGUAGUAAUACAAGGCAUACGGCUCAGUAACACGUAGUCAACCUACCCUAUGGACGAGAAUAAUCUCGGGAAACUGAGCAUAAUUCUCGAUAGAUCAUAAUGCCUGGAAUGGUUUAUGGUUAAAAUGAUUCGUCGCCAUAGGAUGGGACUGCGGCCUAUCAGCUUGUUGGUGAGGUAAUGGCCCACCAAGGCGAUUACAGGUACGGGCUCUGAGAGGAGAAGCCCGGAGAUGGGUACUGAGACACGGACCCAGGCCCUAUGGGGCGCAGCAGGCGAGAAAACUUUGCAAUGUGCGAAAGCACGACAAGGUUAAUCCGAGUGAUUUCUGCUAAAGAAAUCUUUUGCCAGUCAUAAAACCACUGGUGAAUAAGGGGUGGGCAAGUUCUGGUGUCAGCCGCCGCGGUAAAACCAGCACCUCAAGUGGUCAGGAUGAUUAUUGGGCCUAAAGCAUCCGUAGCCGGCCUUGUAAGUUUUCGGUUAAAUCCAUGUGCUCAACGCAUGGGCUGCCGAAAAUACUGCAUGGCUAGGGAGUGGGAGAGGUAGACGGUACUCAGUAGGAAGGGGUAAAAUCCUUUGAUCUAUUGAUGACCACCUGUGGCGAAGGCGGUCUACCAGAACACGUUCGACGGUGAGGGAUGAAAGCUGGGGGAGCAAACCGGAUUAGAUACCCGGGUAGUCCCAGCUGUAAACGAUGCAGACUCGAUGAUGCAUUGGCAUAAUAGCCAGUGCAGUGUCGCAGGGAAGCCGUUAAGUCUGCCGCCUGGGAAGUACGUACGCAAGUAUGAAACUUAAAGGAAUUGGCGGGGGAGCACCACAAGGGGUGAAGCCUGCGGUUCAAUUGGAGUCAACGCCGGA
rnacentral:rRNA from 1 species